CUGCCUUCCCAUACUUUUCGACCCCAGUUUGCCAUAUGGAGGGAAGGUGAAGGCAGGAGACACAGCUUUGAAAGAGGCUUUUAACAUCAUUUGGAUACCAAAACCUGGAUCUGGGACCAUUCCACAAAAUGGGAAUUGCAAAGGAA